GGCAGCCUUGUCAAAUUCAGUGCAUCCUCCUCAGUGUGUGCCACUGGCCAAAAUGGCUGCCACAGUGAACGUGUAGUAGAUUGGCCCCACUGUGUUCUGAUAUGGCCAUUGGGGAUAAAUUAUACUACACACAGUC